UACGUAGGGUGCGAGCGUUAAUCGGAAUACUGGGCGUAAAGCGUGCGCAGGCGGUGAUGUAAGACAGAUGUGAAAUCCCCGGGCUCAACCUGGGAACUGCAUUUGUGACUGCAUCGCUGGAGUGCGGCAGAGGGGGAUGGAAUUCCGCGUGUAGCAGCGAAAUGCGUAGAUAUGCGGAGGAACACCGAUGGCGAAGGCAAUCCCCUGGGCCUGCACUGACGCUCAUGCACGAAGCGUGGGAGCAACAGG
rnacentral:rRNA from 1 species